rnacentral:lncRNA from 1 species
GCACUGAGAAGGGAAGUAACUUGCUCAAGCUCACACAGCUUGAAGUGGAGUCAGAAUUCUAAUGUGGGUCAUCUGGCUCCGGAGCUCAUGUUGUAAACUGCAGUGCUUGCCUGCCUCUCUCAGGACACCAGAAGUCCCACUCUUGAUGAGCCUGGCUGAUGGGUCCCGGAUCUUCACUGGAACUUCCCAGGCACCACCACAACCAUUUCGGGCUAGAAGGGGAACGUCCCAAGACUUAGCCGUACUUGAUACAACUGUCCCCACUGUUGUCACUGGCAACUGGAUCAGCCUCUUCCUGCUGAUGGAGCGUCAUUAUCUGGCCCUGCUGCCAUGGAGACCCAAAGGAAUCAGGUGAAGAGGACCCCGGAAGUCAAGUUUUUGAUUUGGAAGGAUGGGGUAUUCUUAAUUAAUGGCCCUACAUUUUCACGGGACUCAUCAUCUGAAAAAGAAAGUAAGUGGAAAAUCAUGGCCCCAUUUCUCAGGCCUGAAAAAUGUGUAGUGACAAGAGGACAAGAGAUGAAGGUUUUUAAAGCAAUAAAUGUCAUUUUGUUUCUCUUCUGAAUUUGUUG